rnacentral:rRNA from 1 species
GGGGAAUCUUGCGCAAUGGGCGAAAGCCUGACGCAGCAACGCCGCGUGAGUGAUGAAGGCCCUCGGGUCGUAAAGCUCUGUCAGAAGGGAAGAAUUAAUGACGGUACCUUCAAAGGAAGCACCGGCUAACUCCGUGCCAGCAGCCGCGGUAAUACGGAGGGUGCAAGCGUUACUCGGAAUCAUUGGGCGUAAAGCGCACGUAGGCGGUCUCUUAAGUCCGAUGUGAAAUCCCGGGGCUCAACCUCGGAUGGCCAUUGGAAACUGAGAGACUUGAGAGUGGAAGGGGUCAGUGGAAUUCCUGGUGUAGGAGUGAAAUCCGUAGAGAUCAGGAGGAACACCGGUGGCGAAGGCGACUGACUGGGCCAUUUCUGACGCUAAUGUGCAAAAGCGUGGGGAGCAAAC